UACAGAGGGGGCAAGCGUUGUUCGGAAUUACUGGGCGUAAAGGGCGCGUAGGCGGUCGUGACAAGUCACUUGUGAAAUCUCCGGGCUUAACUCGGAACGGUCAAGUGAUACUGUCGGACUAGAGUACAGAAGGGGCAACUGGAAUUCUCGGUGUAGCGGUGAAAUGCGUAGAUAUCGAGAGGAACACCUGCGGCGAAGGCGGGUUGCUGGGCUGAUACUGACGCUGAUGCGCGAAAGCCAGGGGAGCGAACGGG
rnacentral:rRNA from 1 species